rnacentral:rRNA from 1 species
GUGGGGAAUAUUGGACAAUGGGGGGAACCCUGAUCCAGCCAUGCCGCGUGUGUGAAGAAGGCCUUUUGGUUGUAAAGCACUUUAAGCGAGGAGGAGGCUACUGAGAUUAAUACUCUUGGAUAGUGGACGUUACUCGCAGAAUAAGCACCGGCUAACUCUGUGCCAGCAGCCGCGGUAAUACAGAGGGUGCGAGCGUUAAUCGGAUUUACUGGGCGUAAAGCGUGCGUAGGCGGCUUUUUAAGUCGGAUGUGAAAUCCCCGAGCUUAACUUGGGAAUUGCAUUCGAUACUGGGAAGCUAGAGUAUGGGAGAGGAUGGUAGAAUUCCAGGUGUAGCGGUGAAAUGCGUAGAGAUCUGGAGGAAUACCGAUGGCGAAGGCAGCCAUCUGGCCUAAUACUGACGCUGAGGUACGAAAGCAUGGGGAGCAAACAGGAUUAGAAACCCCAGUAGUCC